UCAAAUUAUGCUUAAUCCAGCUGGUUGAAAAGAUCAUAACAAAGAUUCUAAUAAAGACCUGGUAUUUGGGACAACUUCUGAAUAUGCAUUAAUUUCCUAAGGCUUUUUUUUUCUAAUGUAACACAUAUUAUAGCCUAAUUUUGGUUUCAAAAGACAUAUUACAUUCCUCUGCACUAUCACUAACAUCUUUCCAAGUGCAUACAGAAUUGGUUUGUAAUGAUUCAAAUUAUGAUGCAAACUCCCUGAUGCUUUGGUUAAAAGCUGUUCUUAUUGCUGCCUCUCUUCUUACCAUUCAGUGAUAGUCAUAAAUGAAUUUUGUGUGCUCCUCAUUUGCCCAUUUCUGAAAAGCACAUCUUUUUAUCUGGGGUCUCUGAGCUGCAGAGGAAAUGCUGUGCCCUUGUCUUUUCAGCAGAAAACAUUAUUGAAACGCAUCUCUCUUACAAGACCUUUCUGUAAUUAUCAAACUUUACUGAAUCAAGAGAAUUGUUUGGCAAAUAGCAGCAAAGGCUCGUGUCCUUGUCAGAACACCUGCGGUAGUCUCCAAGCAAACACGGGUGUCAUGGUGCUUUCCUCUAAUGACACCUCAUCAAUCCAUUCCUAUCAGCAUCCGAGUCACUGAGGUGACUCGGAGCAUUCAGAAGAGAGGAAAAUGUCAAUGUUUUGGGAGAAAAGGUCAGUCACAGCUUCCCCCUUCCCUGCCAAGCCACAGUGGGCCUGCCGUUCAUUAUCUUAAUUAAAUCCAGCAGAUGAACAUCUUCUUAUCUGUAGGGGAGGAGAGCAGGGGCAUGAUGCAAUAGGAUUUGCAUAUCCAAAGUUAAUUAGUGCGGAGGAGCAGGUGUACAGCAAUAAUAAUUAUCACACAUGACAAUCACCUGUGACCACUUCCCAGCGCCCUUCCGGGAUUCAGCAAUCCGAUCGCUUUGCCUUUUAUUCUGUUUUGCUUGAUGCCAUCCCAAGUCGGUUAUGUCCUUGUGCCAGUGUCAUCCUGCUCAAAGCAAAUCUGACUUGAAAAGUAACACUGGAUAUCAUUGACUGAUUGCAGACCAAUUAGUCAUCGAGGUCUGAAAUGUGCCGACAUGGACAGUUGGCAGCUGGCACCUUUAAUGGAUCUUACCGUGUCUAACUUAGAAGCUCUAUGGACAGGGUCGAGUCACGGAUGAUACCAAACUAGGCGGGACCACUUAUAGCUGAGGAAGCAGUCAAGGAUCUGCAAAAUUAAUUAGAUAAUUUGUGUAAGUGAGCAGAGCAAUGGCAGAAGGAAGUUAACAUUGUUAAAUAUAAAGUAUUGCACACAGUAAGAAAAAAACGAGCAGCCUGCUCUUUACUGUGCAUAUUC